rnacentral:rRNA from 1 species
AAUGAACGCUGGCGGCAGGCCUAACACAUGCAAGUCGAACGGAACCUUCGGGAUCAGGGGCGGGCGGGUGGGUAACGCGUGGGAACAUACCCGUUGGUACGGAAUAGCCUCGGGAAACUGGGAGUAAUACCGUAUGUAGUCGAUAGACGAAAGAUUUAUCGCAAAAGGAUUGGCCCGCGUUGGAUUAGGUAGUUGGUGGGGUAAUGGCCUACCAAGCCGACGAACUGUAGCUGGUCUGAGAGGACGACCAGCCACACUGGGACGUGAGACACGGCCCAGACUCCUACAGGAGGCAGCAGUGGGGAAUUUUGGACAAUGGGCGCAAGCCUGAUCCAGCCAUUCCGCGUGCAGGACGAAGGCCUUCGGGUUGUAAACUGCUUUUGUACGGAACGAAAAGGCUCUGGUUAAUACCUGGGGCUCAUGACGGUACCGUAAGAAUAAGCACCGGCUAACUACGUGCCAGCAGCCGCAGUAA